AUUGAACGCUGGCGGCAGGCCUAACACAUGCAAGUCGAGCGGUAGCACAGAGAGCUUGCUCUCGGGUGACGAGCGGCGGACGGGUGAGUAAUGUCUGGGAAACUGCCUGAUGGAGGGGGAUAACUACUGGAAACGGUAGCUAAUACCGCAUAAUGUCGCAAGACCAAAGUGGGGGACCUUCGGGCCUCAUGCCAUCAGAUGUGCCCAGAUGGGAUUAGCUAGUAGGUGGAGUAACGGCUCACCUAGGCGACGAUCCCUAGCUGGUCUGAGAGGAUGACCAGCCACACUGGAACUGAGACACGGUCCAGACUCCUACGGGAGGCAGCAGUGGGGAAUAUUGCACAAUGGGCGCAAGCCUGAUGCAGCCAUGCCGCGUGUGUGAAGAAGGCCUUCGGGUUGUAAAGCACUUUCAGCGGGGAGGAAGGCGAUAAGGUUAAUAACCUUGUCGAUUGACGUUACCCGCAGAAGAAGCACCGGCUAACUCCGUGCCAGCAGCCGCCGUAA
rnacentral:rRNA from 1 species